rnacentral:sRNA from 1 species
UAUUUACCGAGACAUAAAAGUCUAAGAUGUUCUGUAAGCUUGCUUACAAAGAACAUCGUAAACUUUUCCGGAUCGCCCCUGACAUGAGCACGAAGAAGCACGCAGAGCUUUGGGAGUGCGAAUGUCAGGCAGGAAUCGUAAAAGCACGAAGUGUGACGAUUCCGUAAAUA